CCUUCUUUAUAUGUGUUUUCAGUUUUUGGAUCUUUUUAGAUUUGAUUCUUUCUUUAGUAUUCUCUUGUAUUCUGAUUGUGCAAUGCUCAGAAUCUGUGACUGCAUUGUUGGAAAGUCUUACAUAAAGAGCACAAAGGCCUCUAUUUUUGCUCUAUCUUUGUCUUCUUUAUGAAGCUAACAUUCCACUCUUAAAAAAUUACAUAAAUGUUUGAUUCUAUUUUGCAGGAUAUUGAGGAAUUGCAAUCUUUCUGGACCAAUCCCUUCAUAUGUAAAUGAAAACCUUGAAAACCUUGCGAUUGAUGAGAGAGUUUACACAUAUGCAUGACCAAGCUGCUCAUCCAACCUGAUUCUUGGACCAAGCAUAAGUUGUGGCCAACCAACCCAAGGAUGAAGAUUGCUCGAUCAAAGGAAAUCUCAAGGAUACCUAAAAGAAGUAACAGAAAAUGGGGAGGUCAAGGUUCAAACCACCUUGAGAACUAGCA